rnacentral:rRNA from 1 species
GACGUAGGAUGCGAGCGUUGUUCGGAUUUAUUGGACGUAAAGCGAGCGUAGGUGGCUAGUUAAGUCUGGUGUUAAAGCUAGAGGCUCAACCUCUGUGAUGCACUGGAAACUGGCUGGCUUGAGUAUGGUAGGGGAAGGUGGAAUUCCGAGUGUAGCGGUGAAAUGCGUAGAUAUCGUAAGGAAGACCAGUGGCGAAGGCGGGUCUCUGGACAGUUCCGUGACGCUGAAGCACGAAGGCCAGGGGGAGCAAAACGGGG